UACAGAGGGUGCAAGCGUUAAUCGGAAUUACUGGGCGUAAAGCGUGCGCAGACGGUUGCGUAAGUCAGAUGUGAAAGCCCCGGGCUCAACCUGGGAAUUGCAUUUGAGACUGCGUAGCUAGGGUGCGGAAGAGGGAAGCGGAAUUUCCGGUGUAGCGGUGAAAUGCGUAGAUAUCGGAAGGAACACCAGUGGCGAAAGCGGUUUCCUGGUCCAGCACCGACGUUCAGGCACGAAAGCGUGGGGAGCAAACAGG
rnacentral:rRNA from 1 species